rnacentral:lncRNA from 1 species
ACAGGUGGCUGCCAGAAAGGUUCUAGCAGACCUAGGGUCAGCACCCUACUUGUCUAGAUCUGUGCAACUGAACCUUGCCCUGUCAUGUUUUCCCUUUAUUUCUGGGCUACACUGUUGCUGCACUGGCAACAGAUGUGCCUGCCCAUCCUGGCUGUCCCACAGCCAGGCUGGACCCCCAUACUGAGUUCACCUGAACUCUGCACCCCUAGCAGCUAAUAAGGCCUCAUCCCUCGAUUCUGAUCUCCCGCACGAAUCACUCACUGCUCUUACUCCCCCAGAAGAGCCUGGGGGCUUUGUUUACCCAGAUUCCUCGGUGCCCACCAAGAUGUUUUCUCCACCUCAGAGGUUUGCGGGACAGCUGUCCCCAGAGCUGGAAAAGGUUGCCGCCCCACCUCAAGGUCUGUGUGCCAAGCUACCUUGGCAAGAGAGGCUCCGAAAACUGCUUCUGAGGUCUGCAGCUGUUCACGCAAGGCCAGCAGAGGCACAGAAGAGCCAGAGUGGAAGAUCCAGAGGCCACGUGGAACUCCAGCAAAGAGGCCGAGCCUGCAGAAUCAGCCAGUUACAAGGAGAGUGAUGAUGAGCUACUGGAGAUGCUCACCUACUGACCUCAUCUUGCGAGUGACCAGCAAAGCUUAUUUUUCCCUCAUCAAUAAAGACUUUCUCAUCUCCUAUUAAAAAAAAAAGAAACUGGACAUCCUUGUCUUGUUCCUGAUUUUAGUGUGAAGGAUUUCAGUUUUUGACCAUUUAGUAUGAUAUUGGCUGUUGGUUUUUCAUAGAUGGCUUCUAUCAGUUUGAGGUAGAGACCAUCUAUUCCAAUUUUUUGUUUACA